GUUUGGUGUCAAGUACCAUCUGUACAGUAUUUUCCUUGAUGUCUCGAGGUGUGAGGCGCAUAACGAGGACCCCUUAUGCGCCGUGUGUGCCCUGUCCCAUUCCUGUGGGGACAAUUCUCUACCCAGAUCUUUAUGCCAUUCUUUCUGGUAGCCCUAGAUCUUAGUUUGAGAUUCGUCGAUGAUUGCGUUGCAGCAAAACGAGAGGGAUCUUUUCUGUUGUUGUGGGCUAUUACAUUUGCAUUCAAAUCUUGUCAUUAAUCCUGUCAGUUCGCCCCCUACUGUGUGUGUACGAGCAUCUGUGAUCGUGUGUGACAUUUGCAGGUAUGAGAAGUGGGCAUGCUGCGGAAUCUUG